CCUACGGGAGGCAGCAGUGGGGGAUAUUGGACAAUGGGCGCAACCCUGAUCCAGCGACGCCGCGUGGAUGAAGAAGUCCUUCGGCUUGUAAAGCUCUAUUGGCAGGGACGAAGCAAGACGCUACAUGUCUAAGAUGCCCCAGCUAAAUCCGUGCCAGCAGCCGCGGUAAUACGGAGGGGGCGCGCGUUAUCCGGAUUCACUGGGGGUAAAGGGAGCGUAGACGGGCAUGCAAGCCAGUGGUGAAAGCCCGGGGCCCAACCCCGGGACUGCCCUUGAUACUGGGCGGCUAGAGUGCGGGAGGGGCAGGCGGAAUUCCGGGUGUAGCGGUGAAAUGCGUAGAUAUCAGGAGGAACACC
rnacentral:rRNA from 1 species